rnacentral:miRNA from 1 species
UUUCUAUUACGUGCGGAAAUUGUUACCAUUUUCAGGUCAAAAAUGGUGACAAUUUCCGCAUGUAAUACAAA